rnacentral:rRNA from 1 species
CGCUGGCGGCGUGCCUAACACAUGCAAGUCGUACGAGAAAGUCCGCUUCGGUGAGGCAAGUAAAGUBGGCGCACGAGGUGGAGUAACGCGUGGGAUAAUCUACCCUUUAGUCUGGGAAUAACUUSGUCGAAAGGKGAACUAAUACCGGAUAAUAUCCUGGGUUUUCUCCGGAAAUUCGGGAUUCAAAGAAGGGCCUCUSGCUUCGCAAGCUUUUSGCUGAAGGAUGAGUCCGCGUACCAUUAGCUAGUUCGGUAGGGUAAUGGGCCUACCAAGGGUUAUGAWGGUUAGCUSGGUCUGAGAGGAUGAUUCAGCCCACACUGGGAAACUGARAACACGGUCCCAGAACUCCCUACGGGGAGGGGCAGCAGUGGAGGGAAAUAAUUGCGCAAUGGGGGCAACCCUCUGGAACGCAGCAACGCCCGCCGUGAGUGAGGAAGGUUUUCGGAUUGUAAAAGCUCUGUCGAGCGGAAAGAAAUAAUAUGGGUGGCUAAUAUCCACCAUGUUUUGACGGUACCGCUAGAGGAAGCACCGGCUAACUCCGUGCCAGCAGCCGCGGUAAUACGGGGGGUGCAAGCGUUGUUCGGAAUCAUUGGGCGUAAAGAGCGUGUAGGCGGCUGGACAAGUCAGAUGUGAAAGCCCUGGGCUUAACCCAGGAAGUGCAUUUGAAACUGUCUUGCUUGAGUAAGGGAGAGGAAAGUGGAAUUCCUGGUGUAGCGGUGGGAAUGCGUAGAUAUCACGAAGAACCCCGAUGGCGAAAGCGGCUCUCUGGCAUGCUACUGAC